rnacentral:ncRNA from 1 species
CUCUGGGUCCAUUAGCCGGCUCAGGGCAAGAAGAG